GCAAGUCGAACGGUAACGGGAGAGAGCCUGCUCUCUUGCCGACGAGUGGCGGACGGGUGAGUAACGCGUAGGGAUCUGCCCUGGAGAGUGGGAUAACUCGAGGAAACUCGAGCUAAUACCGCAUAUUUAAUUUAUUAGAAAGAUGGCCUCUGUAUAUGCUAUCGCGCUAGGAUGAGCCUGCGUACGAUUAGCUUGUUGGUGGGGUAAAGGCCCACCAAGGCGACGAUCGUUAGCUGUUCUGAGAGGAAGAUC
rnacentral:rRNA from 1 species